rnacentral:rRNA from 1 species
AAACCGAAAGGAAUGCUAAUACCGCAUACGUCCUACGGGAGAAAGCAGGGGAUCUUCGGACCUUGCGCUAAUAGAUGAGCCUAAGUCGGAUUAGCUAGUUGGUGGGGUAAAGGCCUACCAAGGCGACGAUCUGUAGCGGGUCUGAGAGGAUGAUCCGCCACACUGGGACUGAGACAAAGCCCAGACUCCUACGGGAGGCAGCAGUGGGGAAUAUUGGACAAUGGGCGGAAGCCUGAUCCAGCCAUGCCGCGUGUGUGAAGAAGGCCUUUUGGUUGUAAAGCACUUUAAGCGAGGAGGAGGCUACUCUAGUUAAUACCUAGAGAUAGUGGACGUUACUCGCAGAAUAAGCACCGGCUAACUCUGUGCCAGCAGCCGCGGUAAUACACCGGGUGCGAGCGUUAAUCGGAUUUACUGGGCGUAAAGCGUGCGUAGGCGGCUGAUUAAGUCGGAUGUGAAAUCCCUGAGCUUAACUUAGGAAUUGCAUUCGAUACUGGUCAGCUAGAGUAUGGGAGAGGAUGGUAGAAUUCCAGGUGUAGCGGUGAAAUGCGUAGAGAUCUGGAGGAAUACCGAUGGCGAAGGCAGCCAUCUGGCCCAAUACUGACGCUGAGGUACGAAAGCAUGGGGAGCAAACAGGAUUAGAUACCCUGGUAGUCCAUGCCGUAAACGAUGUCUACUAGCCGUUGGGGCCUUUGAGGCUUUAGUGGCGCAGCUAACGCGAUAAGUAGACCGCCUGGGGAGUACGGUCGCAAGACUAAAACUCAAAUGAAUUGACGGGGGCCCGCACAAGCGGUGGAGCAUGUGGUUUAAUUCGAUGCAACGCGAAGAACCUUACCUGGUCUUGACAUAGUAAGAACUUUCCAGAGAUGGAUUGGUGCCUUCGGGAACUUACAUACAGGUGCUGCAUGGCUGUCGUCAGCUCGUGUCGUGAGAUGUUGGGUUAAGUCCCGCAACGAGCGCAACCCUUUUCCUUAUUUGCCAGCGGGUUAAGCCGGGAACUUUAAGGAUACUGCCAGUGACAAACUGGAGGAAGGCGGGGACGACGUCAAGUCAUCAUGGCCCUUACGACCAGGGCUACACACGUGCUACAUUGGUCGGUACAAAGGGUUGCUACCUAGCGAUAGGAUGCUAAUCUCAAAAAGCCGAUCGUAGUCCGGAUUGGAGUCUGCAACUCGACUCCAUGAAGUCGGAAUCGCUAGUAAUCGCGGAUCAGAAUGCCGCGGUGAAUACGUUCCCGGGCCUUGUACACACCGCCCGUCACACCAUGGGAGUUUGUUGCACCAGAAGUAGGUAGUCUAACCGUAAGGAGGACGCUUACCACGGUGUGGCCGAUGACUGGGGUGAAGUCGUAACAAGGUAGCCGUAGGGGAAC